AUUGAACGCUGGCGGCAUGCCUUACACAUGCAAGUCGAACGGUAACAGGUCUUCGGAUGCUGACGAGUGGCGAACGGGUGAGUAAUACAUCGGAACGUGCCCGAUCGUGGGGGAUAACGAAGCGAAAGCUUUGCUAAUACCUCAUACGAUCUACGGAUGAAAGCAGGGGACCGCAAGGCCUUGCGCGAACGGAGCGGCCGAUGGCAGAUUAGGUAGUUGGUGGGAUAAAAGCUUACCAAGCCGACGAUCUGUAGCUGGUCUGAGAGGACGACCAGCCACACUGGGACUGAGACACGGCCCAGACUCCUACGGGAGGCAGCAGUGGGGAAUUUUGGACAAUGGGCGAAAGCCUGAUCCAGCCAUGCCGCGUGCAGGAUGAAGGCCUUCGGGUUGUAAACUGCUUUUGUACGGAACGAAAAGACUCUGGUUAAUACCUGGGGUCCAUGACGGUACCGUAAGAAUAAGCACCGGCUAACUACGUG
rnacentral:rRNA from 1 species